GGGCCCGCACAAGCAGCGGAGCGUGUGGUUUAAUUCGAUGCAACGCGAAGAACCUUACCCAGGCUUGACAUUCAAGUGCAAACCCUGGAAACAGGGCCCUCCGCGAGGACACUUGGACAGAUGCUGCAUGGCUGUCGUCAGCUCGUGUCGUGAGAUGUUGGGUUAAGUCCCGCAACGAGCGCAACCCUCGCUGCCAGUUGAGGUACUCUGGCGGGACCGCCGGGACAAACCCGGAGGAAGGUGGGGACGACGUCAAGUCAGCACGGCUCUUACGCCUGGGGCUACACACACGCUACAAUGGCCGGUACAGAGGGCUGCUAAAGCGCGAGCUGGAGCAAAUCCCAGAAAACCGGUCUCAGUUCGGAUUGCAGGCUGCAACUCGCCUGCAUGAAGUCGGAGUUGCUAGUAACCGCAGGUCAGCACACUGCGGUGAAUACGUUCCCGGGCCUU
rnacentral:rRNA from 1 species